rnacentral:misc_RNA from 1 species
UCCCCGUUAACCGGGGCAGUCCCCCUAGAGUUCCCGGCUUGACCCGUUGGCAACUAGGGGCGAGGGUUGCGCUCGUUGCGGGACUUAACCCAACAUCUCACGGCACGAGCUGACGACAGCCAUGCAGCACCUGUGCUGGCUACCCUUGCGAGUUCAUUGCCGUUUCCGGUUUGGUACCACCAGCACCCAAGCCUUGGUAAGGUUCUUCGCGUUGCGACGAAUUAAACCGCACGCUCCGCUGCUUGUGCGGGCCCCCGUCAAUUCCUUUGAGUUUUAGCCUUGCGGCCGUACUCCCCAGGCGGGACACUUAUUGCGUUAGCUUCGGCACGGAGGGGGUCGAUACCCCCCACACCUAGUGUCCAUAGUUUACGGCGUGGACUAC